AAAGCGGGGCGGCGGGCAGGUGCCCCCAAGGUUCCCUCUGCCAUGAGCCGCUGUAUGGAAGGGCGGGGGGCAGGGAUUGACUCGCCCUAAAGCAAAAUCCAGCCACUUUGGGAACCCGAAAGGCGACAUCUGCGUCUCAACUUACACUGCGGCGCCGGCCGUUUUGCAGGGAAGUCUCACAUCCCUCCUCAGGAAAAGCUGUGGAGUUUCCCUUUGAGGAUCCAAGUUUGUCAGUUCAACAUUCAAUGGGGAUCUUCCUUGUUGAUCAGUAAUGUGCUACAAAUAUGAACAGAAAGCCUGGCAUAAAUAUAGUUUUCAAUCUAGAAAGCAUCUCCACAGGAAAUCACUGGGAUAAGAAGAGCAGGUGUGUUUGCAGGCCAAGAUUGAGAUGGUUUAGAAGAAUUUUCACAAUUUCAACAUGUCCUCCUCCAGCAGCAAAAUGAAGAGGAGAGCUAAGUUGUCCAUUCAGUAGAUUUGGAUUACAUUUCCCUUUCUCCAGCAACAUUCGAGUGGCUUCAACUUUUCCAUACCUACAAGAGAGAUUAAAAGCAGAAUGGCCACAACAAAGAACACAAGAUUAAAAACAAACAAACAAAAAAAAAAACCCAAACCUAUUUCAGAUGCUUUCAGAGAUAUUCCUGAAUGUUUUAGGACAUAUGGCAUAUUUAGAAUAUGGAAAUGUGGUCUGGAAGCAAUUACUAUAAUGUGGGUGUACAGCUGGCUCAAAAAUCGUACUCAAAGAGUACUUAUCAAUGAUUUGCUCUCAAACUGUGAGGAUGUUUCUAGUGAGAUCCUGUAGGGCUCUGUCGUGGGUCCAAUACUAUUAAAUAUUUUCAUUAAAUUACUUGAAUAAUCGAAUGGAAAAUAUGCUUAUAAAAUUUGCAGAAGACACACCAUACUGGGAGGGGUUGCAAACACUUUGGAGGACAGGAUUAGAAUUCAAAAUGAUCUUGAUAAAUAGGAGACUUGGUCUGAAAUUUAAUGAAGACAAAUGCAAAUUACUUCACUUAGGAAAGAAAUACCAAAUGCACAACUACAAAACGGGGAAUAACUGACUAAGCAGUAGUAUUGCAGAAAAGGAUCUGGGGAUUAUAGUGGAUCACAAAUUUAAUAUGAGCCAACAAUGUGAUUCAGUUGCGAAAAAAGAAAAAUAUCAUUCUGGGAUGUAUUAGUAAGAGUGCCAGAAGCAUGAUGUGGGAGGUAACUGCUCUGCUUUACUCUGUCUUCAAACAUAUUAAGGGAUGUUACAAUGAGAACAGUGAUCAAUUGUUCUCCAUGACCACAGAAGGUAGGACAAGAAGUCGUCAAUUUAGUUUACAGCAAAGGAGAUUUAGAUUAGAUGUUAGAAAAAACAUUCUAACUAUAAUGAUAGUUAAGUACUGGAAUAGACUUCCAAGGGAGGCCAUGCAAUCCCUGUUAUUGGAGAUUUUUAAGACAAAACCCCAGUCAGGGACGGUCUAGCUAUACUUGGGUCUUACCUCGGCACAGGGAGGGUUGAGGUCCUUUCCAGCCCUAUAUUUCUAUGAUGCAAAGAAUAAGAGCUGUCUUGUGACCAAUUUUAGUUCAGACUACAGGAAUGCAGAGCAGAAUUCUUCUUUUCUGGAUAAACCUACUCCUCAUUACAGACUAUUUGGUGGGAAGUGGAUUUGAGCCAUUUGAAAUUUUGGUGAGCUAAAAACAUUUUAUAAUGCUUUAAAAUAAGUGUAAUUUCUUUCACUCUUCAAUAAUUCAAAAAAUAGCUGAAGAAUGUUACCGCAUUUUCCAUAAAAAUUUACCUCUGGGCUAAGAAAACACAUGAGGAUAAUUAUCUAAAGGAUGUAUUUCAGAAUGUAAGGAUCAUGUGAAAAGAAGGGUUAUAAUGAAACUUCUGGUGUAAUGUUAUCUAUAGUGGCCAGGUUACAACUAUAAGACAUUCUGUAGAAACGCUGCAUAGAACCAGAAGUAAAACACCGAAAUAACAAAAAUAAAGCAACAUAUUAUUUAAAGUUCUUGCUCUCUGUGUAUUUUCAAAAUGGAAUAAUCAAGCCAUUGUUUAAUAAUAAUGCUCUUCACUUCUAUACCACAUUCUAUCUAAGGGUUCUCACGCAUGACAUUAAAAUCAAAAGAUUUUAAAAAUCCAGUUUAUGUGGUUAACUUUUUGCAUUUGUUUCUGCAUAGACAAAAAUCAAUAGUCAGUUUCACAUUUGUUCAUAUGUCAGUUUCACUUUCAAAUUCUCAGUACUGUAAUAUUUGCAGAAGAAUGAUUAAUUUAAAGACUGAAUUAAAUAUUGAAACAUUUCUAUGGGUCUGAUGGUUUGUAAUUGUUUUAAUAAAAUCAAAAUUUUGGGCUACAUAGGAAUUGGUAUUCUGGAUCAGACCCAUGGUACAUCUAGUCCAAUACACUCUCUCUGAUAGGGGCCAGCACCAAGUAUUUCAGAGGAAGGUACAAGAAAACUAGCAUUAGGCUGACGUAGGAUACUGUCCCAUUAGAUCUCCAUCUUCUAAACUCUUUAGUCAGAGAUCAGCUUAAACCUUGAAGCAUGAGGUUUAAUUUCUCUUUCAACAUUUUUUUUAUAUUAACUAUAAGAACAAACAACAACUAAAAUGCUAGAGUUUGGAUUUUCUGGCAUUUAAUUACUAUUUUAAACCACACAAGUGCUUAGUGGUAGAGGUUUUCAGCCAUAAAUACCAGAGAUACAUUCACUUGGAAAAAAUACUCACCAGC